CUUUGAAGGCUAGUUGGCAACAACCGGCUUUUGAGGAGAACUAUGGCAAACUAGAUUAUUUAGAGGAAGUAAAAGUCGUAACAAGGUUUCCGUAGGUGAACCUGCGGAAGGAUCAUUACUUAUUUAUUGAGAGAAAGAGAGUCUCCUCUCUCUCUCUCAAUUAAAAAUCAUCCACAGUGUGGGAAAUGUCUUUCAUUUAAACGCUUGUGCCUGGUAUAGUCUAGUGCUACCACUUGGUUUAUCUUUUAGUCAAUGGACUUUUAGAUAGUGCUUUUUUCCUUGGAAGAUAGCACCUCUUGUAAAAGGGGAUAAGAUUUCAUUUUAUUAUACUUUUUUUUUUUUAACUGAACUGAUAGACCAUAAAAUCUAUGGUUGUUUUUUAUUAUAAAAAAAUUAAAAACAACUUUCAGCAAUGGAUCUCUCGGCUUUCGUAUCGAUGAAAAACGCAGCAAAUCGCGAUAUGUAAUGUGAUCUGCCUAUAGUGAAUCAUCAAAUCUUUGAACGCAUCUUGCACCUUAUGGCAUUCCAUAAGGUACGUCUGUUUCAGUACCACUAAUAAAUCUCCCUCCUCCAUCUUUUGUUGAUGAUAGGAUAAAAAAAGGAGAUAAAUCAUUACUGGUUCGGGUGAUUUUUGAAUUUUUAUUUAUUAAAAAAUCAAAAAUUGCUCUCAACCUAAAUAUAAGGCUAGACUUGAAAGGUUUAUUCUUUCUUGGUCGGCUUUAAUAGAAUUUAUUCUAUGAAAGGUUUAUAGCCAUUUAUUUUUUUCAAAAUCUUGGCCUGAAAUCAGAUGGGACUACCCGCUGAACUUAAGCAUAUCAAAAGCGGAGGAAAAGAAAAUAACAAUGAUUCCCCUAGUAACGGCGAGUGAAGAGGGAAAAGCUCAAAGUUGGAACCUGGUGGGCAUAGCUCACCCGGAUUGUAAACUAAAGUUUUUGAGUCGUUUAGUCAGCCAGGUAAAUAAGUCCUCUGGAAAGGGGCGACAUAGAGGGUGAAAUCCCCGUCUUUGGCCUGAGUUUUGAUUAGGCGUUUGGCUUGGAAACGAAGAGUCAGGUUGUUUGGGAAUGCAGCCUAAAAUGGGAGGUAAAUCUCUCCUAAAGCUAAAUAUUGACGAAAGACCGAUAGCGAACAAGUACCGUGAGGGAAAGAUGAAAAGCACUUUGAAAAGAGGGUCAAAAAGUACGUGAAAUUGCUGAAAGGGAACCGUAUGAAAUCAGACUUACUGGUAGGUAAUCAAUCUUUCCCUUGGGAAGGAUGCACUUGCCUGCUAUGUACGCCAGCGACAUUUUGGUUGUGGAGGAAAAAAAUAGUUGGAAUGUAGCCUGGGUUUCGGCUUAGGUGUUAUAGACUACUAUAAAAUACUCUCGGCUAGAAUGAGGAACGCAGCAAACCGUAAGGCGAAGAUUUUAGGCGCUUGGGGGGAAUCAUUAGAGAAUUUCUGCUUCGGGUGGUGCUUUAGUGAUUUCGUUCAACUCGUUUGAAUUUCUUUUUAUUUGCUUAGGUUGUUGGCUUAAUGAUUUUAUAUGACCCGUCUUGAAACACGGACCAAGGAGUCCACCAUAUGCGCGAGUCUUUGGGUGUAGAAACCCAUGGGCGGAAGGAAAUUGACUAAGAUACCAAGGCUUUAGCUGGCAGUAUCCCCCGGCAUAGACGUUUUAUACUGAAAUGACUGAGGGCAAGCGCUUAUGAUGGGACCCGAAAGAUGGUGAACUAUACUUGAAUAGGGUAAAGCCAGAGGAAACUCUGGUGGAAGCUCGCAGCGAUUCUGACGUGCAAAUCGAUCGUCAAAUUUGAGUAUAGGGGCGAAAGACUAAUCGAACCAUCUAGUAGCUGGUUCCUGCCGAAGUUUCCCUCAGGAUAGCAGAAGUCGUAGGCAGUUUUAUGAGGUAAAGCGAAUGAUUAGAGGCCUAGGGGGCUUAUUGCCCUUUACCUAUUCUCAAACUUUAAAUAUGUAAGACGUUUGGCUUGCUUAAUUGAAGUCAAACAUA
rnacentral:rRNA from 1 species